rnacentral:tRNA from 1 species
AGCUCCAUCGUCUAGCGGUCAAGGAUAACGGGCUCUGGACCCGUUGACGCCAGUUCGAAUCUGGCUGGAGCUA